UUGCUAGCUUUCAACCUCAGUGCUUUCCUGCGAUGCUUGCUAGAAUGUUCUGAAAUGGCUUGAGGCCUUGACCCAUGCCUUACUUGAAGCAUGGUCAUAGACAUUUCAGAUGGUU
ensembl:snoRNA